GACCACAGAGGAAGCAAUGCAUAGGGAGGAGGAGGAACACAGCGGAAGGCCUUCUUGCAGCACAAGAUCCUGCUUCACCUGACUGGCACAGAUUAGAGGGAGCGAACAGUGAUCCUAACAUCCAUAUACUGACUUGAGGAUGGCAUGGUCAAAUUCUACGGAGCUGAUGGGUUCAUGAUCUCAACUCUUCAUUCUCCCUUUCUUGGCAAUUAAAAUAAUAUUUUAGCAAAGUACAUCUAUUUUUACAUGAUAGACAUUAAUAAUGAAGAUGAAAUAUAGUGGAAUAAUGAUUAGCAGCCUGCAGCUUGUUCACAUAGCAUAGGAUUUCUAUUGUUUCUCCUUAGAAUAGAGAUUUACAGUGUCUGAUUUAUCUGCAGAUUGAGGCUUUCAGCUAUGGCAAGCAGACCGAAAUUGGCAUGUGUAUGACUUAUUAAGACAAGAUCUCUAAACUGGCUUUUAUGUGUGCUUCUUAGAAUCAUAGAAUGAUUACGGUUGGAAAGGACCUCUAACAUCAUCUAGAUCAACUGUCCACCUGCCACCAAUAUUGUUCACUAAAUCACGUUCCCAAUUACCACAUUUAUGCAGUACUUGACCAUCAACAGGGAUGGUGACCCUGCCUCAACCCUGGGCAGCUAGUUCCUAUACCUCAUUAGUCUUACAGAACACAAAUUUUUCUUAAUAUCCAACUGAAGCUUCCUCGGCACAACUAGAUGCCAUUCACUCUUGUCCCCUUGCUGUUAUCUGGGAAAAGCUGACACUCACCUUACCACAACCACCUCUCAGGCAGUUGUAGAGAGCAAUGAGAUCUCCCCUGAGCCUCCUGUUCUUCAGGCGAAAUAAUCCCAGUUCCCUCAACCCCUUCCCAUAAGACUUGUACUCCAGACCCUUCACAGCUUCAUGCUCUUCUCUGAACAUAUUCUAGGUCCUUAAUGCCUUUCUCAUAGUGAAGAGACCAAAUGGAAACAUAGCAAAGUGUAGCUCGCCAGUGCCAUGAACAGAAUGAUCACCCCCCACUGUUGCUGGCUCUGCUAUUUCUGAUACAUUUCUGACAUUUGGUUGGAUUCUCCUCAUACAAAUUUGACCACAGCUUUAAAAUAAAUAAAAGAAAUAAGCAUAAGCACCACCCAUUGUAGCCAUUACAAUAAAUUGUUCAGCUCUCAAAACUUAUAGACAAAGACUCUUCUCAGUUUAUGGAUUCUCAUUCCAAUCCUGCAUCACUAAAUAUGUUAGUGAUAGAUUUUUUGGCCCAGCUGAAAGCCACAUUGAAGCUCUAUCACAAGAGAAGUAACUGAACUCUAGUGAUCAUGGAAUAUGCAAUCAAAUAAAUUCCACACGUAUAGAAUCUGUACUGAAAAUAUUUGUCUCCUCAGCUCCAGAAGUGAUUUAAUCCAUGCUAAAAUUUUGGAAAGCAGUGUGUAGCAAAAAUCAGGAUCUAAAAGCUAAUGGAAAAUGUCAGAUUAACUUGUAUGAGGGAAGAGAAGAUUCUUGGUGUGAAAAAAUGUGGUUUUCUAACACGUUGAUUCUGUCUGCACAUUUAUAAUUGCACUGCACAUAGCAUAAGUGAUCAAAUAUUUAUCAAAAGUGAAUGUUAAAAUUGCAUGUGGAAACAAAGUGAUAAACACUCAUGGAGAAGUGCUUGUGGUUGAAUAGAACUUGUGGUGCCUUUUUCUGUCAACUAAGAAAGUGAAACCCUGUGACUUUUAAUAAAUCUCUGCUAGGCAUCUAGCUGGAGUUAAUACAGAGAAUACAGAAUAUUUGCUUUUGUAUAUAGGAAAGGGAAAAAAAUUUAAUUAUAUGUGAGUAACUUCAUCUACUGGAGGAUACUACUAUAUGACUGGAAAAAAAGUUAAAUUUGUCAGAUUAAAUAUUUAUUGAG